rnacentral:rRNA from 1 species
AUGCCAGCUUGCUGGUGGAUUAGUGGCGAACGGGUGAGUAACACGUGAGUAACCUGCCCUUAACUCUGGGAUAAGCCUGGGAAACUGGGUCUAAUACCGGAUAUGACCUUCCAUCGCAUGGUGGUUGGUGGAAAGCUUUUUGUGGUUUUGGAUGGACUCGCGGCCUAUCAGCUUGUUGGUGAGGUAAUGGCUUACCAAGGCGACGACGGGUAGCCGGCCUGAGAGGGUGACCGGCCACACUGGGACUGAGACACGGCCCAGACUCCUACGGGAGGCAGCAGUGGGGAAUAUUGCACAAUGGGCGCAAGCCUGAUGCAGCGACGCCGCGUGAGGGAUGACGGCCUUCGGGUUGUAAACCUCUUUCAGUAGGGAAGAAGCGAAAGUGACGGUACCUGCAGAAGAAGCGCCGGCUAACUACGUGCCAGCAGCCGCGGUAAUACGUAGGGCGCAAGCGUUAUCCGGAAUUAUUGGGCGUAAAGAGCUCGUAGGCGGUUUGUCGCGUCUGCCGUGAAAGUCCGGGGCUCAACUCCGGAUCUGCGGUGGGUACGGGCAGACUAGAGUGAUGUAGGGGAGACUGGAAUUCCUGGUGUAGCGGUGAAAUGCGCAGAUAUCAGGAGGAACACCGAUGGCGAAGGCAGGUCUCUGGGCAUUAACUGACGCUGAGGAGCGAAAGCAUGGGGAGCGAACAGGAUUAGAUACCCUGGUAGUCCAUGCCGUAAACGUUGGGCACUAGGUGUGGGGGACAUUCCACGU